AGCCCAUUAGCCUUUUAGUUAGUUGGCCCAUUCCGGAUUUAUUGAAAUAUUUGCAGUCUUGACCCCAAGCUUUAUCGUUAUCACAUCCAAGUCCAUUUAUUGAAACUUUUGCGCUAUUGCCCUUAAGUUCGUCUGUUAUAACUUUAUUAGUCUUGGGCUUUUUACCUGCACAAUAUUCUUAAACAUGUAAUUGCAUAUAUGUCCUGUAAAUAUAAUCAGAC
rnacentral:lncRNA from 1 species